GCUGGCGGCGUUUUCUAUACAAGAGAUCAAACGUGAACGGCUUCGGCCUAGUAAAGUGGCGUACGGUUGACUAACACGUAGGUAAAAUACCUAGAGGUGUGGAAUAACCUGCCGAAAGGCGGGCUAAUACCGCAUAGAGCGAGGACUUCUCAGGAAGUUCUCGGGAAAGGGAGCGAGCAAUCGCCCUCGCCUUAUGAUGAGCCUGCGUCUCAUUAGCUAGUUGGUAGGGUAAUGGCCUACCAAGGCUUUGAUGGGUAGCUGGUCUAAGAGGAUGAUCAGCCACACUGGAACUGAGACACGGUCCAGACUCCUACGGGAGGCAGCAGUGGG
rnacentral:rRNA from 1 species